GCUUUCCUUGUCAUGGGGUGAGAGAGCUGCUCAACGAGCGUCUAGUGAGAGUAGCCCUGCUAACACCAUAACAACACAUAAGCAUCACCUGAGCUUGCUCCGGCCAUGGUGCAAUUUUUGAAACC
ensembl:snRNA